UACGUAGGGGGCAAGCGUUGUCCGGAUUUAUUGGGCGUAAAGAGCGUGUAGGCGGCCAUGUAGGUCCGUUGUGAAAACUUGAGGCUCAACCUCGAGACGCCGAUGGAAACCAUAUGGCUAGAGUCCGGAAGAGGAGAGUGGAAUUCCUGGUGUAGCGGUGAAAUGCGCAGAUAUCAGGAAGAACACCCGUGGCUAAGGCGGCUCUCUAGUACGGUACUGACGCUGAGACGCGAAAGCGUGGGGAGCGAACAGG
rnacentral:rRNA from 1 species